AAAAUGAAGAAGAAGAAGAGCUAUCCAGCGUGAUAUAAACAAAGGUGUCUGUAUGUGUUUAUUGUUGCAGGUGAGCGUGUCACGCGCACAUAAGAGACAUUGUACUCCACAGUGAGAGCACAUUAGUCGUCAUGCCGCCAUGACAGGAAACGCCGCAGAGGUCACAGAUGAGCUGGAGCCUAUCCUAGGUGUUCACCUGUCAAUCAGACUGAAAGCGAGACAAAAGGAUGACAAUCUUUCAUAGAUUAAAAACUGUUGCUUUCCCCCCAAAAAAUACAUGUGUAUUAAUACCACAUACAUAUAUUGUCAAUAAAGUAAAAUGGAUUGACAAAU